AGAGUUUGAUCCUGGCUCAGAUUGAACGCUGGCGGUAUGCUUUACACAUGCAAGUCGAACGGAUUUGGGGGUUUGCUCCCAAGUUAGUGGCGAACGGGUGAGUAAUAUAUCGGAACAUAUCCGGAAGUGGGGGAUAACGUAGCGAAAGUUACGCUAAUACCGCAUAUGCCCUGAGGGGGAAAGGGGGGGAUCGCAAGACCUCUCGCUUUCGGAGUGGCCGAUAUCGGAUUAGCUAGAUGGUGAGGUAAUGGCUCACCAUGGCGACGAUCCGUAGCUGGUCUGAGAGGACGACCAGCCACACUGGAACUGAGACACGGUCCAGACUCCUACGGGAGGCAGCAGUGGGGAAUUUUGGACAAUGGGCGCAAGCCUGAUCCAGCCAUACCGCGUGAGUGAAGAAGGCCUUCGGGUUGUAAAGCUCUUUCAGCCGGAAAGAAUCGCAUUCCUUAAUACGGGGUGUGGAUGACGGUACCGGAAGAAGAAGCACCGGCUAACUACGUGCCAGCCGCCGCGGU
rnacentral:rRNA from 1 species